rnacentral:antisense_RNA from 1 species
ACUCUGGUAGAUUGCAUAUAACCUGCUUUCUUUCUGUUCCCGGGCGGCAUCAGACCCGUCGGAGAGUAAAUCCCAAGUAAGGUACCUGCCGUCGGCAGAUUGGAGCUUUCUUCUUGGACACCUAAUACCCACAGUCCUCCAG